rnacentral:rRNA from 1 species
UACGUAGGGGGCAAGCGUUAUCCGGAUUUACUGGGUGUAAAGGGGGCGCAAACGGCGAUGCAAGCCAGGAGUGAAAGCCCGGGGCCCAACCCCGGGACUGCUCUUGGAACUGCGUGGCUGGAGUGCAGGAGGGGCAGGCGGAAUUCCUGGUGUAGCGGUGAAAUGCGUAGAUAUCAGGAGGAACACCGGUGGCGAAGGCGGCCUGCUGGACUGCAACUGACGUUGAGGCCCGAAAGCGUGGGGAGCAAACAGG